ACGCUGGCGGCAGGCCUAACACAUGCAAGUCGAGCGGUAGCACAGGAGAGCUUGCUCUCUGGGUGACGAGCGGCGGACGGGUGAGUAAUGUCUGGGAAACUGCCUGAUGGAGGGGGAUAACUACUGGAAACGGUAGCUAAUACCGCAUGACCUCGCAAGAGCAAAGUGGGGGACCUUCGGGCCUCACGCCAUCGGAUGUGCCCAGAUGGGAUUAGCUAGUAGGUGGGGUAAUGGCUCACCUAGGCGACGAUCCCUAGCUGGUCUGAGAGGAUGACCAGCCACACUGGAACUGAGGCACGGUCCAGACUCCUACGGGAGGCAGCAGUGGGGAAUAUUGCACAAUGGGCGCAAGCCUGAUGCAGCCAUGCCGCGUGUGUGAAGAAGGCCUUAGGGUUGUAAAGCACUUUCAGCGAGGAGGAAGGGUUCAGUGUUAAUAGCACUGUACAUUGACGUUACUCGCAGAAGAAGCACCGGCUAACUCCGUGCCAGCAGCCGCGGUAAUACGGAGGGUGCAAGCGUUAAUCGGAAUUACUGGGCGUAAAGCGCACGCAGGCGGUUUGUUAAGUCAGAUGUGAAAUCCCCGAGCUUAACUUGGGAACUGCAUUUGAAACUGGCAAGCUAGAGUCUUGUAGAGGGGGGUAGAAUUCCAGGUGUAGCGGUGAAAUGCGUAGAGAUCUGGAGGAAUACCGGUGGCGAAGGCGGCCCCCUGGACAAAGACUGACGCUCAGGUGCGAAAGCGUGGGGAGCAAAC
rnacentral:rRNA from 1 species